AUGUUGGCAUUCGGUUAAAUCGAAUCGGGUACGCCCAUAUGCGGGUUCGAUCCGACGGAUAUUAUGUUAUCUAAUUGGAUUGGAAUUAAUCUCGCUUUCAAAUUGGAAAGUUAGUUAGAGAUAAAUCCUAGUCAUAUUAGGAUAACAAUUAAUAACCGAUUUGGCCUUAUCUCUAACGCCAUAAGGAUUUUGGAAUCCCUUAUAAAUAUGCGGGCGAUUCCACAUAACGUAAUAUACGGAAAAGAACGGAAAAUGAGAGAGAAUAAGAAAAUAAUAACGAGAAACCACAUCCUCCAUUGACCUAUUAUUCUAGAGGAAUUUGCACGGUGGAUUUGCGAUCGCGCUCGUUUGUAGUUCGAUCCACCGCGAGUUCGUGGAGCGUGAGAAGACAUUCAAGGACGAUCGGAGGACACGUGAAUCAAUCUAAACGAUCCGGGCUCAUCGCGUUGUUGCGCGAAUCGCUUCCGCAAAAGGUACGAACCAAUAUUUCCGCUGCGUUCUACAUGAUAUAUGUAUAAACCU
rnacentral:lncRNA from 1 species